rnacentral:rRNA from 1 species
GUGGGGAGUCUUGCGCAAUGGGCGAAAGCCUGACGCAGCCAUGCCGCGUGAGUGACGAAGGCCUUCGGGUUGUAAAGCUCUGUCCAGGGGGGCGAACGACGUGUGUUCGAAUAGGGCACACGUGUGACGGUACCCCUGAAGAAAGCACCGGCUAACUCCGUGCCAGCAGCCGCGGCAAUACGGAGGGUGCAAGCGUUGUUCGGAAUCACUGGGCGUAAAGCGCGUGUAGGCGGUAGUGCAAGUCGGGUGUGAAAUCCCUGGGCUUAACCGAGGAAUUGCGCUCGAAACUGCGCCACUAGAGUACGGGAGAGGGACGUGGAAUUCCUGGUGUAGAGGUGAAAUUCGUAGAUAUCAGGAGGAACAUCCGUGGCGAAGGCGACGUCCUGGACCGAUACUGACGCUGAGACGCGAAAGCGUGGGGAGCAAACAGGAUUAGAAACCCCGGUAGUCC